CCCCUCAAGAUGAGAUUUCCCAAUUAGUAAGACCCCUUGAAGACGACGAGGUAGAUAGGUUGGAGGUGGAAGCACAGCAAUGUGUGGAGCUGACCAAUACUAAUCGGUCGAGGGCUUAUCCUA
rnacentral:rRNA from 1 species